GACGAACGCUGGCGGCGUGCUUAACACAUGCAAGUCGAACGGUAAAGCCCUUCGGGGUACACGAGUGGCGAACGGGGGAGUAACACGUGGGUGAUCUGACCUGCACUUCGGGAUAAGCAUGGAAAACUGGGUCUAAUACCGGAUAGGACCAUGGGAUGAAUGUCCUGGGGUGGAAAGCGUUUGCGGUGUGGGAUGGGCCCGCGGCCUAUCAUCUUGUUGGUGGGGUGAUGACCUACCAAGGCGACGACGGGUAGCCGGCCUGAGAGGGUGACCGGUCACACUGGGACUGAGAUACGGCCCAGACUCCUACGGGAGGCAGCAGUGGGGAAUAUUGCACAAUGGGCGCAAGCCUGAUGCAGCGACGCCGCGUGAGGGAUGACGGCCUUCGGGUUGUAAACCUCUUUCAGCUAUGACGAAGCGCAAGUGACGGGAGUAGCAGAAGAAGGACCGGCCAACUACGUGCCAGCAGCCGCCGUAA
rnacentral:rRNA from 1 species